UUUUUUUUUUUCUUUUUUUAAAGCAAAUCCUUUAGUUUUACGUAUUUAUUAGUAUUCAAAUUCCUUUAGUAGUCAAAAUCUUAAGUCUUCUGUGAGUCUUUCCACAGUGUCGGGAAGGGCUGUUUUCAGAUCAGAAAUCAAUGAGGACUUCCCCACCACCAGGGCUUCUCCUGAUGCAGGAAGAGUUUGUUUUCAAUUCGAUGCCAGCACCUCUGUGAGUUGUAUUCUAUGCUGACGAUCUGUUCAGGCCAAGUGCUUUCUGAUGUAGAACGUCGCAGCAGAUGGUGAUCUUCUCAGCCUGACACAUGGUAGCUGGGUACAGUAAGAACGUCUUAUUUAGCUGUGGUGGGCUAAGGGGUCCAGAUCUAACAGAAUUCUCCUAAAUUAUUGGUUGAGACAUUUCUGUUACCUUCAUGUGCACUUCUCUUGCCUAAGUUUAGGUAUGAAGUCUACUCCCUGGGAACUGCUUGUCAGUGAGAAGUGGAACUUUACAAUCAAAUUUUUCUAUUUAAAUGGCCCAAAACUUCUUACCUUAAUAAAAAUAGAUGGUUCCAUUAUAUUCCUUUUCAGAUGAUUUUCCCUUUAAACUUCGGUUGUGUGUGAGGUUGCCUGCAUCUUACGUGGUUCACCAAUGACGUUCCCCAGUUGCACUUCUACUGUACGUAGCAGAUGGGCUUGUGGUCGCUCUCAAAGGAAAAGCAAAACAAAAAGAGCUUGAGAGCCACCCUGUGCCUUGGAUGUGACCGGCAUGUUGUCCAGCUCCCGAACCAUCUCUCGAUGAUGCUUACCUGCCCUCUGACUGAGGACUAAGUCACAGCUCUGGCAUCCUAUUUCUCAGAAAGUCAGUGUUACAGGAUAGCGUAUCUGUCUGCCUUCAAAAUUUGAAAGAGGAAGAGGAGGAGGACAAGAAGAUGGCUGUGGGGAUGGACGGCCCUGAGCGUGGCUGUGUCUACAGUGGCCACAUGAACGUGCACCUGCCAAGAAAGAAAGACACACCAAGUGCAUUUAAAGCAGUUGUUAAAUUUUAUCAUUUUGAGGAAAACCUUCUGUCUUCAGGAAGUUUGUAAGAUACCUGGAAAAAUGGUAAUACAGUCAGUAUCUGUGAGAAGUUUUUUUAAACAGGGCGGAGCACCACACCAUGAAGAUGCUACAGAAAGGACACGGAAGUGCCAGGAAUGCUUAUGCAACUUUCUGGAUUCAAAGACAGGCAUCUUUUCUGAGAGAAUAAAUCAAAUGUUUGGGGUAGAAGAGAAAAACUAAUCAAGGAAAAGCAAGUGAUUCAGCUGAGUAACCCUGAGAACAGUCCAUGAACACUGCCCCCCCCGCUGCUCCCUCCCCUCAGACCUAGUAUGUGGAGUAGCUUCCAUAGAAGACAACGUGUCACUUAGCAGCUGGAACACUACUCUAUCAUUCAGAAACGCUGUCUUAGUUGGUCAGUCAGCACCAGAGAGGACCAAUGAAAGACCAAGGACAGACCAAUGACAGUCAGCACCCAAGAUGGACCUGCUCCAUCCCCUAAAGGAAAAAGAAAUAGCCCACCAAAUAAGACGUUUCUUCACCGACAAGGUACUAAGCCCCCACCCAGUGGAGGAUGGCAACUUCAGAGUGAGCUCAAGGUUCCUGGAACACCACCUUGUUACGUCACCACCACCCGAUCAGAACAAAGUUACACACCUUGCAGCCAUCACCCCAGAUUUUGCCUAUAAAACUUCUUCCUGAAAACCAUCAGGGAAUCCGGGGGUUUUGAGCACAAGCCACCACUCUCUGUG